rnacentral:lncRNA from 1 species
UGAUGUGCUGUCAAAAACGGUUAAAAUCCUAAUCUCAUUCAACAAAGAUGAGAUACAUCCAUGUUUGUUAGAGUUUUUUCUUAUUUUAUUUUCGGGUUGUUUCUUUAUUUUAUUUUUUCAUUUUUUAGACUUUUUUAUAUUGGGUGAUUCUUAUUUGGAAUAUAUGUUCUUGAAAAAAAGGAUAGUAACUUUUAUAUUUGUAAAAACUCACAAUUUUUAUUAAUCUCAUUAAUAAAAAUUACACCUCUAAAAUAGAUAUUUUGUACGUUUCACAACGAUUUUA